GCACUGCUGAGGAGUGUCAUAAUAGGACGAAACGGCCGUCCAGUGC
rnacentral:hammerhead_ribozyme from 1 species